rnacentral:rRNA from 1 species
GUCCACGCCGUAACGAUAAUCACUAGAUGUUAGUCCGGCUUAGCUGGAUUAGUGUCGUAGCUAACGCGUUAAGUGAUUCGCCUGGGGAGUACGGUCGCAAGGCUAAACUUAAAGAAUUGACGGGGUCCGCACAAGCGGUGGAACAUGUGGUUUAAUUCGACACUACGCGAGAAACCUUACCUGGGCUUGACAUGUACUCGACAGCUAUAGAAAUAUGGUCUUUUGGGUUUCGGCUCAAACGGGUACACAGGUGCUGCAUGGCUGUCGU